GGGCUGGGCUCGCGCCGUGCUCACCUGCGCUGCUCCCCCAGGGCUCGCCGGGAGUGCCGGGACACCCCGGGGCUCAGGGUGAACGGGGCGAGAGAGGCGAAGAGGGGGACAAGGGCGCCCGAGGACUGCCCGGGCGCAGGGGCAUCCCUGGCAGCAGAGGCGAAACGGGCAUCCGCGGCAGCAUGGGGCCUCCAGGAGAGAUGG